GUUGGGUGUGGUGGUACACCCCUAUAAUCUCUGCCACCAGAAAGGAUAUGGCUUGGAGAUCUUUGGAGCUUCGGAGUUCUGACCUGCAAUGGGCUAUGCCAUUUGGGUGUCCAUACUAAAUCUGGUAUUGAUAUGGUGAGGCCCCAGAGAGCAGGGGACCACCAUGUUGCCUAAGGAGGGGUGAAUUAGCCCAGGUCAGAGACAGAGCAGGUCAAAGCUCUGGUGACAACUAAUAGUGGGAUUAGCCUGUGAGUACUCUCUGAACUUGUAGUCCUGGCCAAAAGGGGAGAGCUU
rnacentral:SRP_RNA from 1 species